AGGAUAAACGCUGGCGGCGUGCCUAACACAUGCAAGUCGAACGCCCUUUUGCUCGCAAGAGCCAGAGGGAGUGGCGGACGGGUGAGUAACACAUGGGUGACCUACCCCACAGUGAGGAAUACCGGCGAGAAAUCGCCGACAAGACCGCAUAGGCUCGGUCCGGUGAAGCGGAGCGAGCAAAGUCUCGCAAGAGACGCUGAGGGAUGGGCCUGUGGCCGAUUAGCUAGUUGGUAAGGUAAAGGCUUACCAAGGCGACGAUCGGUAGCUGGUCUGAGAGGACGAACAGCCACACUGGGAUUGAGAACGGCCCAGACUCCUACGGGGGGCAGCAGUGAGGAAUUUUCCGCAAUGGACGCAAGUCUGACGGAGCAACGCCGCGUGCAGGAGGACGCUUUUCGGAGUGUAAACUGCUUUUCUGUGGGACGAGCGAGGACGGUACACGAGGAAGAAGCCCCGGCUAACUACGUGCCAGCAGCCGC
rnacentral:rRNA from 1 species